AAUAGCAAUAUUUGGUGGCGACCGGCAAACGGGUGCGGAACACGUACGCAACCUUCCCAUAACUGGUGAAUAGCCUUCCGAAAGGGAGAUUAAUACACCGUAACAUAAAGAGUAGGCAUCUAUUUUUUAUUAUAGCUUCGGCGGUUUUGGAUGGGCGUGCGCCUGAUUAGGUAGUUGGCGGGGUAACGGCCCACCAAGCCUUCGAUCAGUAACUGGUGUGAGAGCACGACCAGUCACACGGGCACUGAGACACGGGCCCGACUCCUACGGGAGGCAGCAGUAAGGAAUAUUGGUCAAUGGACGCAAGUCUGAACCAGCCAUGCCGCGUGAAGGAUGAAGGCCCUCUGGGUUGUAAACUUCUUUUAUCUGGGACGAAAAAAGGGGAUUCUUCCUCACUUGACGGUACCAGAGGAAUAAGCACCGGCUAACUCCGUGCCAGCAGCCGCGGUAAUACGGAGGGUGCAAGCGUUAUCCGGAUUUACUGGGUUUAAAGGGUGCGUAGGUGGGUAAGUAAGUCAGUGGUGAAAUCUUCGAGCUUAACUCGGAAACUGCCAUUGAUACUAUUUAUCUUGAAUACUUUGGAGGUAAGCGGAAUAUGUCAUGUAGCGGUGAGAUGCUUAGAUAUGACAUAGAACACCAAUUGCGAAGGCAGCUUACUACACAGUUAUUGACACUGAGGCACGAAAGCGUGGGGAUCAAACAGGAUUAGAUACCCUGGUAGUCCACGCCCUAAACGAUGGAUACUCGACAUUAGCGAUACACAGUUAGUGUCUGAGCGAAAGCAUUAAGUAUCCCACCUGGGAAGUACGAUCGCAAGAUUGAAACUC
rnacentral:rRNA from 1 species